GCCUGCUCCCGCAAGAAGCCAAGAAGGCGGCACCGCCGUCGCCGCUGGCGGCCACCGUCGCCGUCGCACCUCCCCUCCUCCGACGUCCACAGAUCGAGAUGCCAAGAUUUAUGGGGGAGGUGCUGUAGGCACGGUGGGAUCGCCGGAUCUGUGGCCGCCGGCUUCGCCUUCUUCCAGGCUGCCAACGCGGCGGUCCGCGCCCCGGUCUCCCGCGAUCCGCUCUUCGUCAACACCGUCGUUUCCCUCCUCCACUCCUCCCUCACCUCCGCCUCCCGUAUUAGAUCCUCUCCCUAGCCUUCCCUUACCCCGACCCUCCGUUCCCUACCUUUUGCUGUAUGCCGAGAAAUAAUAUAGGUGAACCGUGAAUCCGUGAUUGCUGAUUAGCACAUGCAAAGUAGGUCUCAGCUUCGAGGUGAUUCACUAGUAUUAAGAUCCAACUUAAAAGUGGGGGCAAGAGGUCAGAAUUAUUUCAUUCACAAAUCCUGUAAAAAGGACAUAUCAGCUGCGAAAUAUAACUGAGAUGUCAUCGGUGGAAGUGUUCUGAUUAGUGUCGACGUUUUCAUCAUGCGAUUAAACUCUUCAGUGUCAAUAUGGUGCAUUUGAGCAUGUCUUUUGCGAAAAUAGACCACUGCUUUUGUCUUCUGAAAUGCAUAACGGGGUAUUGUUUGUCAGUAUUAGUAUAUUAUAUACCGUAAUGGAUUAAUGGGUUAGUAACAAAGCUCUGGUUUUAUUGGAACCAGUCACGAAGAUGGAAGCACUCUCUGGUGGGAUGUACGAAAGCCUGGGUCACCUAUAUCUUCAGUGAAGUAUCAUUCAGAAUCAGCUUUAUCCCUUGCUAUCGAUGGGUCUUGCAAUGGUGGAAUCUCAGGAGGCACUGAUGAUAAAGUAGUCAUUUUCAUGCUUGAUCAUCCAAAGGACUCUCGUGGCAAUGGGCUGGAAAGUACAGUGAUCCUAGCAGGCUGUGCCGAUGCUGUUUGUUGCUGGGGACUCAUUGCAGCCAGCAUCAUGUGGAUGGAUUCCAGUAUUUAUUAAUAGAUUAGUUGCUUCAGAUCUAAUGUGGAAAAAGCCGGAGUGGCAUGUUGCCUUUGGUUUUGUUUCAAAAAGAAUGCUGCCUUUGGUUUCUAAAUCAGAAGUGGUUGUCCAUACAGCCUACCUGAACUCAGAAGCCUGUGAUCUUCACUGCUUCAGCUCUCACAAGUCAGAAUUCAGAAGUGGUUGUUUGAGCAGGAGCUAAAUCAAUAGCAGGAGCUGAAGCCAUGGAGCUGAUGACUAUUAUGUAAAAUUUAUGCUUCUGUUCUUGACUGGUGUAUGAUAUAUGCGUCUUUAUUUUAUCUUCCAAGGAAAUAGACCUGGAAAGGACCAUGCAUGGUUGAGAGACCGUGCCUUCCUAUCGUGCGCAUGUAAAUUUUUUUCUUCUUUCUGUAACACUAAUGCAAUCAACUCUUUGGCUU